ensembl:lncRNA SCAT1 S-phase cancer associated transcript 1
AGAUGAAGCUUCGUUUGCUCACUUCCUGUUGUGUGGCCCAGACAGGGCACUGUCUGUGGCCCCAGGGGUUGAGGACCCCUGGCUUUAACAACAGAAAGGGAGGGAAUUGGGAUCUGAAGACGUUGCAUUCGAGGUCUCGGGGCUCCUGAUGAGCAGCCUCGGCCUGACCUGGGGCAGGUGUGAUGUCUGCGGCUCACCAUCUCCACCCUGCCUGCUGUGGAAUCUCCACAACGACAGGUGCUUUGGAGGCCAGAGUGCAUGCGUACGGGCCCUGCACACGCUGAAUGUCACUGGGAACAAGGACACACCCCGCUUCCAGGAGAAGAUAGAACAUGUCGACCCCUUUUGCUCUCGUUCUGUUGCCCAGGCUGGAGUUCAGUGGCAUGAUCUUGGCUCACUGCAGCCUCGAACUCACAGGCUUAGGUGAUCCUCCCACCUCAGCCUCCUCAGUAGCUGGGACUACAGAGCCAUCCCCAGUGCAGGACAUGCUAUUGACUUCCAUGAGACAAACACCUACUUGGAAAUCAGGUUUUUUCUGUACCUUUUGAAGGAGCAGGAAUUUCCCAGCAUUUCCUGGACAAAGACGGAGGCCACAUUCGCUGCAUCCUUUCCAGCAAGAUGUCAUUCUGAGAUUUUUGUCAUUCCUGGGCGUUAUGAGGACUGCCAAGGGACACAAUUCCAUGGGAGGAAAGUUUUCUUCUAAGCUGCAAGCCAGCUCUGGCUUCUGGAGUUUCUCCUUAGGAUUGCAAGACAGUAGUUCCCUGUCCUUUAGGUCUUCUCCAGAAAUACCUUAAAAUAGCAAAUAAAAUAAGAUAUAAGCAAACAAAA